UACGAAGGGGGCUAGCGUUGCUCGGAAUCACUGGGCGUAAAGCGCACGUAGGCGGAUUUUUAAGUCAGGGGUGAAAUCCUGGAGCUCAACUCCAGAACUGCCUUCGAUACUGGCGAUCUUGAGUCCGGAAGAGGUGAGUGGAACUCCUAGUGUAGAGGUGGAAUUCGUAGAUAUUAGGAAGAACACCAGUGGCGAAGGCGGCUCACUGGUCCGGUACUGACGCUGAGGUGCGAAAGCGUGGGGAGCAAACAGG
rnacentral:rRNA from 1 species